UUAGUUUUCUCUAUGUUCUGUGACUGGUUACUCUCUUCUACGUUUCAGUUCUGCAAUAUGCACAUAUUACUCAGAGAAGCUGGUCCAUCUUCCCCAUUGCUACUUUGUCAAUGAUUACAAGCAGAAAAACCAGGAUGUGUUGGAUCCAAAUUCUAAGCCAAGCGAUCAGACUAUGGACUUCCUCUUCACUGAUGUUGCCAUGAAGAGUGAACAUAUCAGGCGAAGUGUCCUUGCUGAUGUAAUCCUUGACACUGAACUGGAAGAAUUCAAAGCAAGGUCUUGCCAACAGAAACCUCUACCUCUCCAAGAACAAGCUAUUUGGAGAAAUCCCAUAUUCUUUAG